GCUGGAGAGAAAGGGCCACAAGGGUUCAGAGGACCAAAGGGCGAGAUGGGUAAAAUUGGUCCUAAAGGAGCACCUGGAGGGCCUGGGCCUAAAGGGGAGCCUGGUAUUCCAGGGAGAGACGGCAAAGAUGGCACACCAGGACUGGAUGGAGAGAAGG